AUACGGAGGGUGCAAGCGUUAUCCGGAAUCACUGGGUUUAAAGGGUGCGUAGGCGGCCAUAUUAGUCAGUAGUGAAAGGUUGCAGCUUAACUGUAAGACUGCUAUUGAAACUGUAUGGCUUGAAUUAGGAUGAGGUAGGCGGAAUGCGACAUGUAGCGGUGAAAUGCUUAGAUAUGUCAUAGAACACCGAUUGCGUAGGCAGCUUACUAGACCUAUAUUGACGCUGAGGCACGAAAGCGUGGGGAGCGAACAGGAUUAGAUACCCUAGUAGUCC
rnacentral:rRNA from 1 species